CCUGCCUCAUACAGGGGAAUAACAACCGGAAACGGUUGCUAAAACCGCAUAAUAUGCUAACAUCGCAUGAUGACUGCAUUAAAUAUUUAUAGGUAUGAGAUGGGCCCGCGUCUGAUUAGCUAGUUGGUGAGAUAAAAGCUCACCAAGGCGACGAUCAGUAGCCGGCUUGAGAGAGUGACCGGCCACAUUGGGACUGAGACACGGCCCAAACUCCUACGGGAGGCAGCAGUGGGGAAUAUUGCACAAUGGGGGAGACCCUGAUGCAGCGACGCCGCGUGAGUGAAGAAGUAUUUCGGUAUGUAAAGCUCUAUCAGCAGGGAAGAAAAUGACGGUACCUGACUAAGAAGCCCCGGCUAACUACGUGCCAGCAGCCGCGGUAAUACGUAGGGGGCAAGCGUUAUCCGGAUUUACUGGGUGUAAAGGGAGCGUAGGUGGCGAGUCAAGUCAGAUGUGAAAGCCCGGGGCUCAACCCCGGGAUUGCAUUUGAAACUGGUUUGCUAAAGUGCAGGAGAGGUAAGUGGAAUUCCUAGUGUACCGGUGAAAUGCGUAAAUAUUAGGAGGAACACCAGUGGCGAAGGCGGCUUACUG
rnacentral:rRNA from 1 species